UGCAUAGUGCGCCAGUGAUACUACACAAGAUAUUCGCAUAGAACACCAACUUACAUAUUGCAACUUACGGGUGGGCUUACACCGCACCGCGAUUUUUACAAAGAAAACAAACACAUAUAGUAAAUUAGAGUUCAAUACUUAGAAAAUGAUUCGUUAUCAAAAGCCUAGGCGAAUUGAGCUAAAAAAAACUGAUCUUGAUGAUGCAGAAGAGAUUAGAAAAGAGAUUAUUUUGCUGUCAAAAAAAGAGGAAGAGAGUUUUUUGCGACCAACUACAACAGAUACUUUAGAAUCUAACCAAAAAGUAAAACGUGCAGAAAUACGAAGACGACUUGGUUUUACACCUGAAAUGCUGCCCAGUGAUGGUAACUCAGAAAUGCACUUCUAAUUUAAAAGUUUCUCUUUUUUUGAAUUGACAUUACAAAUGAAGCUUUUUAAAGUUUUAAA